ACAAACUCUAAGCGUCUCUCAUUGUUUGGGUGCUUUUUCAUGCAGACUCGCGUACAUCAAAAACCGACCAAAUCAAAAGGCAUUUAUUUUUCAGCUGCCUUUAGAAAAGCAGAAAGAGAAGCGUAAGCAGGAAGCAGAAAGCAGCAUUUGUCCCAGGACAAAGAUCUGUCACUUUGGGGUGAAACUGGGACGGCACUUGAGAGUCAAGGAAUAUCAAGAGUGUCCCAACACGGCUGGUAUGGAAACAGGUGCCAGGGAGGCUCCGUUCUGGUGGGAAAAGACAUGAGAUCCCAUCACCAGCAAGAUCUCCUCCUCUUACCAUGAAACCCUCGUGCCUGUUUGAAAGCCAUCAUCCUCCUGGCCAGCCAGCCCACUCAGCAUGUAGUGCUAUAUUCAAAUGCCAUUAUAGAAAGUCAUUAAAUUUAAC
rnacentral:lncRNA from 1 species